CCCUGAAACCCCUAAAUUUUCCCCCUAAAAUUGGUAUCCUCAAAACACCCAAGGGUUUCUCUCUGCCACCACCGUCUUCAUCAUCUUCCCCUCUCUCCCUCUUUUUGCGUACAUCUCAGAAGAGCUCAUACUUUAUCUGUUUCUCAUGUGACUCUGAAGCCUCUUUCUUUCCUUCAACAUACCCAAGAUUGUCUUCACCCCUGGGCAAGAUAAAUGCUUCACAUGCGGUCAGAUGGGCCAUAUAGCGGCAAAUUGUGAAUAAAAGGCAAAGAGGAAGGAAGGAGAAUUUGAUGAGAAAGCUGAUGGAAAAACUGUGGCCAGAAAGCCAUAUCAGGUUAAUAGCUUUCCACUAUGGGGUUUAAAAAGGUUUAUAAAUGCUUCAUGGAUAUUUUCCCGCAGGUAUUUCUUUUUACUCAUUUUUAAUCCCAUGCUGUAAUUGAUUUAUGUAUGUGUAUAACAUAAAGCGUGGUGGUUUGGAAAAAGAAAUGUAACAAACAUGCAGUGCAAGUAUAUUUUCUUACACCUACUGCAUAUGUUGAUUCACGAAUUCUAAAAGCUGUUCUAUCGAGAACUCUAAGAUGUGGACGCAGCUGCGGAGAUUGUUCUGUCUGAGACUCUGCCUUACCUAUCUAAAUGAACCGUGGCUGGUAGUUCUUCCUCAUGGAAUCGGAGCCCUCCUGUGCAAGCAAAUGAAGGUAGCUGUCCGUUGCAAAGUCGCUUUUGCGGACUCGGCGUCGGCUCAAACUUGAUCCAGCUAAUAAGCUAUAUUUUCCAUUUUGAUGAGCAGAAGGAUCAAGUUGCAAUAGAACAAAUACUACGGGUUGUUUUCCUAGAUCCUAAGCGUCCUUGUCCUGUAAGUCCCAUUAGCUUGUUACUCCCGUUUCCACAACUAUAUGUGCCUUCAUUCACGUUUGCUUCUGCUUUUAGACAUUUGCUUUGUUUGCUUUGUUUCUUGCUUGGGACCAGCUGCUAAUAAGAAGCCUGUCACCGAUCAGCAGUAUCAGAAAGUUGGAGGUCCAUGGGAAUUCUGUAAAGUCCGAGACCAAUGAACCAAAACAGCAAAAAUUACGUAUCUGGAAUCGUGAAACGAAGGAAUUUGAGUGAAUUCGAUAUGUCAAAAUUGGGUAUUGGAUUUGAUGAUGAGAAGUCCGAAAGAAAAACAUCGGAAAAGGCAUUAGUUUUGUCUCAGAUUAACGUUUUAAAAACAGAAAUAUGGAGGUGCUGCUGUUUGAUUUCAGAGAAAAUAAGGAAACUACAAAAAGGCACUUAGAUUAAGGUCGAAUGAGCUAAAAUUGGAGAGGCAAUUGGAGAACACAGAGGCUGAAAUUUCUUCUUUCAAGUAUGCUGUAAUUUUUCUUUUUUUUUUGUUCUUGUGGUUAUUGCUGCCCAUGUUUCUGGGAGGUGAUUGUGUAAACAUUUUAGUGUGCUUUAGUUAUUGUAAGAAUAUUUUUAACAUUGUUAAUUUUAAUAUUAUUGUAAGAAUAUUUUGAAUUAUAAUUCAGUUAUCAAUUUAUAUCAUUUAUCUUUCAUUGAA